rnacentral:lncRNA from 1 species
UUUUUUUUUCAGUAAGAAAUUCAGCUACAAGCUAUACCUACCUGCCUGCCUCUUUAAGAAGAGCUGUAGUAAUAAAGUCUUUCUGAAGACACAGCUGUAGCAAACUAGCAAACAGGCAGUCACCUGAGACCAUGGAGCAGCCAGAGUAACACUUCCAGAUCAGAAUCUCGCAUAGUGAGGGACUGUAGAGACUUGCAGUGAGGAUGAGGAAAUACAGCUCCUGCAAUUUGCAUCCAGACAUCAGGAAGCCAUGCAUUACAAGAACAUUUCAUCUUCUGCCAGGGAUGAACACACAGAAAUCGUAAGUUCGUACUUAGACCAACAGAUUCACAGGUAGAAGUGUUUUUAAAAAGACUGCUAAAGAAA